UCCCUGGUGGCUCAGUUGGUAGAGAAUCUGCCUGGAAUGCAGGAGACCCGGGUUCGAUCCCUGGGUUGGGAA
rnacentral:tRNA from 1 species